CCUUUAACCAAAAAUCCCCAAAUCUCAAAUCCCUAAUUUUUGAAUCACAAAAAUCUCCAUCUCUCUCUCUCGCGCGAUUGUAAGCAAGGCAGACGACGGUGUUGAGCCAUAUCAUCAAUCAAUCCUUCAUGUAUCUCUCUCUCUCUCUCUUCCUCCCUGUAUCUCUCUCGACGAUACAACACUUCAACCCCAGAACCAGAAACCCUAACCUCCUACACAUCAUCAUCAACAGAUCAAACCUCCACAGACUGCUCCAAACUCGAUCCAAUUUUCCACAUCAUAUACAGUCCAAACCAUACACGGUUACACUUCCUCCCUCUCUCUCAUCUGCCUCUGACGCCACGACUACUGCCACUGUGACUACCGCGCCACCGCCAUCACCUCCGUUAUCGCCCUCUCUCUCUCUUUCUCACUCAGAAACCCAUUCGAUUUGAAGCUCAGAAACCCUCACUCUCAAUCGAUUGCUCAAAUUUAGAAUGACCCAGACAGAAAUCAGAGUGAAUGGUUCAGUCUGUAGCCCUCUCUGGAGGCUAUGAAGAUGAUGAGGAUCACGGUGAAUGGUUCCUCUACACAGGAAGUGGUGGAAGAGACCUCAGUGGAAACAAAAGGACGAAGAUAGUCAUUUGAUUAGAAGUUUGAUAAAAUGAAUGAGGCAUUACGGGUUAGUUGCCGAAAAGGUUAUCCUGUCCAAGUUGUGAGAUAUUUCCCCAGUAGCAAUUUGCUUAUUGUGGAAUGCAGGCGUGUGAAGAUUGCGACUAACUUUUGUUUUUGUUAUGGUUACCCACGGAAGAAUCAUGGCGAAAACUUUGAUUUUUGAUUUACCUUAUUUAGAUUUGUGAACAACAUUAUGUAUGUAUUAUGCAACAUUAUGUGGUGAGAUAAUUUUGUGGGUGUGUUGUUAUGAAUGGAAGAAUAUUUUAAUUA